GACGAACGCUGGCGGCGUGCUUAACACAUGCAAGUCGAACGGAAAGGCCCCUUUGGGGGUACUCGAGUGGCGAACGGGUGAGUAACACGUGAGUAACCUGCCCUUGACUUCGGGAUAACUUCAGGAAACUGGGGCUAAUACCGGAUAGGAAUCCUUGCUGCAUGGUGGGGGUUGGAAAGCUUCGGCGGCUUUGGAUGGACUCGCGGCGUAUCAGCUUGUUGGUGGGGUAGUGGCUUAACAAGGCUUUGACGGGUAGGCGGCCUGAGAGGGCGACCGGCCACAAUGGGACUGAGAUACGGCCCAGACUCCUACGGGAGGCAGGAGGGGGGAAUAUUGCACAAUGGGCGGAAGCCUGAUGCAGCAACGCCGCGUGCGGGAGGACGGCCUUCGGGUUGUAAACCGCUUUCAGCAGGGGCGAAGCUUGUGGUGACGGUACCUGCAGAAGAAGCACCGGCUAACUACGUG
rnacentral:rRNA from 1 species